CCUACGGGUGGCAGCAGUGAGGAAUAUUGGUCAAUGGGCGUAAGCCUGAACCAGCCAAGUCGCGUGAGGGAUGAAGGUUCUAUGGAUCGUAAACCUCUUUUAUAAGGGAAUAAAGUGCGGGACGUGUCCCUUUUUGUAUGUACCUUAUGAAUAAGGAUCGGCUAACUCCGUGCCAGCAGCCGCGGUAAUACGGAGGAUCCGAGCGUUAUCCGGAUUUAUUGGGUUUAAAGGGUGCGUAGGUGGCCUUUUAAGUCAGUGGUGAAAGUUUGUGGCUCAACCAUAAAAUUGCAGUUGAUACUGGGAGCCUUGAGUAUGUUUGAGGCAGGCGGAAUGCGGGGUGUAGCGGUGAAAUGCUUAGAUAUCACGAAGAACUCCGAUUGCGAAGGCAGCCUGCCAAGCUAUCACUGACAUUGAUGCACGAAAGCGUGGGUAUCAAACAGGAUUAGAUACCCUAGUAGUC
rnacentral:rRNA from 1 species